rnacentral:rRNA from 1 species
CCUUGACGGUACCUUAUUAGAAAGCCACGGCUAACUACGUGCCAGCAGCCGCGGUAAUACGUAGGUGGCAAGCGUUGUCCGGAAUUAUUGGGCGUAAAGGGCUCGCAGGCGGUUUUUUAAGUCUGAUGUGAAAGCCCCCGGCUCAACCGGGGAGGGUCAUUGGAAACUGGGGGACUUGAGUGCAGAAGAGGAGAGUGGAAUUCCAAGUGUAGCGGUGAAAUGCGUAGAGAUGUGGAGGAACACCAGUGGCGAAGGCGACUUUCUGGUCUGUAACUGACGCUGAGGAGCGAAAGCGUGGGGAGCGAACAGGAUUAGAUACCCUGGUAGUCCACGCCGUAAACGAUGAGUGCUAAGUGUUAGGGGGUUUCCGCCCCUUAGUGCUGCAGCUAACGCAUUAAGCACUCCGCCUGGGGAGUACGGUCGCAAGACUGAAACUCAAAGGAAUUGACGGGGGCCCGCACAAGCGGUGGAGCAUGUGGUUUAAUUCGAAGCAACGCGAAGAACCUUACCAGGUCUUGACAUCCUCUGAAACUCCGAAAAAUAAGACGUCCCCUUCCGGGGGAAAGUGACAGGGGGGG